CCAAAUAUGUGAAAGGUCAAAGUAUAUGUCAAAGCAAAAUUAGAGGUGGCUCACAAUUUUGGCAAGGGAUUAUGCACGCCAGGGAAUGGUUUGAGAGAGGAACAAGAUGGAUGGUGCAAUGGAAGAAGAAUUCGGUUUUGGCAAGAUGUGUGGCUAGACAACUGCCCUUUAAAGAUCAGGUUCCCGAGACUAUACAAGAUCACGAGGUAGCAAACCUGGUCAGUAGCAGAGAUGUUUGUGGUAGAUUGGGAGCUUGACUGCAGAAGAAAUUUGGGUCAGGAGGAAUGCUCUGAUUUAAUUGAUUUGCAGGAAGCAUUAGAGGUGAUAUAGAUUACAAGGAUGAUAGCUUAAUCUGGGCUCUAGAAUCUUGAGGCAGAUUUUCAAGCAAGUCUCCGUAUAGACUUAUGGUGAAUCCUAGAGAAGUGGAUGUAAGAAUGAGAUAUCUUUGGGAAAUUAAGCUUUCGCUGAAGAUCAAAGUUUUCCUUUGGAUGUUAUGGCAUGACAGGGUGCAGAUUGGAGAAUAACUAAAGAAGAGGAAAAGCAAACACUCGAGCUUUGCAAAUACUAUGGGCGACUAAAAACCAGGGAUCACCUCUUCUUUAACUGUAGUAUAACCUAGAUUAUUUGGGUUUGGGUGCGGGUUAGCCUAAGAUGGAAUAGGAGGCCUACCUCGAUGACUAACUUCCAAGAUAUGCUUAAUGCUGGAGAGAUUGAGAGAUCUAAGAUCGUUAACUUCUUUGUGAUAGCUAGUGUUCGUGGGCUGUGUGGAAGUCUAGGAAUGACUAGGUGUUUAACAACAAACUUAUCAAAACUCCCAAAGCUCUUGCUUACAAAGUCUUGGCUCUGUUGAAACCAAUGUUUUUAAGGAGUCGCUUUGGCGUCGCUUUAGCGUCGCCUAAUCGCCAAGGCGCUCUAGGCAAGACGUUUUGGUAGACGACUCACCUCAGAUUGGUAUGGUGUCCACCUUACGAGCAUGGCGUCCGGAAAACGUCGAUUUGGCGUCCGAUUCGUCCCAGAUCGAGGAAGGCGGGCGCCAUACGGGCGUGCUCUGUGCGGGGAGGCAGGAAACGUGGGACAUCGCGGGAGAAAGGAUGGGGAAAAGAGCAAACGCGCGGGAAAGGCAGUCGUGCGCGCAGAGACAGAGGGGGGGGGGGUGCGUGGGAGAAUUAGGCGCGCUGGAGAGAAGAACGCGGGAGAAAUCAGAGCAGACAGCAGAGAGAGGAGCGUUCAGGGAAGACAGACCUACCUGCUCGCUCGCGUUUUGCCCGCGCCACAGGGAGAAGCUGCUGCCGUCGAGUCUCUGCCUGAAGCAAAGGCUCCGCCUUCCGCUCCCCUCUUCCCAAUCCGCGCGAGGAGCUGCCGUCGGCGGGUAGCUGUUUCCCGGCCUGCCUCCUCUGGUCAUUCUCCUUCCGCGCGGGGAGCAGCCGCCGGCGGGUUGCUGUUUCCCUGCCACCUCUCUGGUCCUCCAUCGCCUCCUCCAGUCUUCCCUCGAGCAGGACACCGAGCUGCCUCCUCCAGUGUUGCCUCGAGCAGGACACAGAGCCGCCUCCUCCAGUCUUCCCUCGAGCAGGACACAG
rnacentral:lncRNA from 1 species